GGGCCGGUGGUCUAAUGGCAUGACGUCACGUUCGCAUCGUGAAGGCUCCGAGUUCAAAUCUCGGCCGGUCCA
rnacentral:tRNA from 2 species